rnacentral:rRNA from 1 species
AUACGGAGGAUGCAAGCGUUAUCCGGAUUUAUUGGGUUUAAAGGGUGCGUAGGCGGAUGAUUAAGCGUGAGGUGAAAUGCCACUGCUCAACAGUGGAACUGCCUCGCGAACUGGUUGUCUUGAAUGCUCCUGCCGUGGGAGGAAUGUGUGGUGUAGCGGUGAAAUGCAUAGAGAUCACACAGAACACCGAUUGCGAAGGCAUCUCACGAAGGGGUGAUUGACGCUGAGGCACGAAAGCGUGGGGAUCAAACAGGAUUAGAUACCCUGGUAGUCCACGCAGUAAACGAUGAUAACUAACCGCUGGGUCGUAGUGAUUCAGUGGCCAAGCGAAAGCGAUAAGUUAUCCACCUGGGGAGCACGACCGCAAGGUUGAAACUUAAAGGAAUUGACGGGG